rnacentral:rRNA from 1 species
AGGUUACUGCUAUCGGUGUUCGCCUAAGCCAUGCGAGUCAUAUGUUCUUCGUGAACAUGGCGUACUGCUCAGUAACACGUGGAUAACCUGCCCUUGGGUCCGGCAUAACCCCGGGAAACUGGGGAUAAUUCCGGAUAACGCACAUAUGCUGGAAUGCUUUAUGCGUCAAAUGGAUUCGUCCGCCCAAGGAUGGGUCUGCGGCCUAUCAGGUAGUAGUGGGUGUAAUGUACCUACUAGCCUACGACGGGUACGGGUUGUGAGAGCAAGAGCCCGGAGAUGGAUUCUGAGACAUGAAUCCAGGCCCUACGGGGCGCAGCAGGCGCGAAAACUUUACAAUGCGGGAAACCGUGAUAAGGGGACAUCGAGUGCCAGCAUCAUAUGCUGGCUGUCCGGGUGUGUAAAAUACACCUGUUAGCAAGGGCCGGGCAAGACCGGUGCCAGCCGCCGCGGUAACACCGGCGGCCCGAGUGGUGAUCGUGAUUAUUGGGUCUAAAGGGUCCGUAGCCGGUUUGGUCAGUCCUCCGGGAAAUCUGACGGCUUAACCGUUAGGCUUUCGGGGGAUACUGCCAGACUUGGAACCGGGAGAGGUAAGAGGUACUACAGGGGUAGGGGUGAAAUCUUGUAAUCCCUGUGGGACCACCUGUGGCGAAGGCGUCUUACCAGAACGGGUUCGACGGUGAGGGACGAAAGCUGGGGGCACGAACCGGAUUAGAUACCCGGGUAGUCCCAGCCGUAAACGAUGCUCGCUAGGUGUCAGGCAUGGCGCGACCGUGUCUGGUGCCGCAGGGAAGCCGUGAAGCGAGCCACCUGGGAAGUACGGCCGCAAGGCUGAAACUUAA